rnacentral:rRNA from 1 species
GAUGAACGCUGACAGAAUGCUUAACACAUGCAAGUCUUUGGCGAAUCUGUGCUUGCACCGGCUAGCCAAGGCGGACGGGUGAGUAACGCGUAAAGAACUUGCCCUGCAGACAGGGAUAACAGAUGGAAACGACUGAUAACACCUGAUACAGUUGCCGGCACGCAUGUGCCUGGCAAUGAAAAGAGAUGCUGCAGGAGAGCUUUGCGUCCUAUUAGCUUGUUGGUGAGGUGACGGCUCACCAAGGCGAUGAUAGGUAGCCGGCCUGAGAGGGUGAACGGCCACAAGGGGACUGAGAUACGGCCCUUACUCCUACGGGAGGCAGCAGUGGGGAAUAUUGGACAAUGGGGGCAACCCUGAUCCAGCAAUUCUGUGUGCACGAAGAAGGUUUUCGGAUUGUAAAGUGCUUUCAGCAGGGAAGAAGAAAGUGACGGUACCUGCAGAAGAAGCGACGGCUAAAUACGUG